UGGCUCUGGUUUCUCUUCAUCUUACACAGUCUUUAGCCUUUUACUAAAGACUUCAGUGGAAAGGAACAAACAUGGAGUUGAAUAUAUUUUGGCAGGCUUUGCUGUAUGGCUG